AUGUUGGGAGAAGGGUGGGCUUCAGGACCAGGAGGAGUUUUCAGGGUUUGGGGAGUUGGGGUAGACUCUGAGGCGGAACUGUUCAGAGCUUCUGGGAAGCACAGAUGGGGCAUCAGGAAAAGGAGAGACCGAGGAUCCAAGCCAGCCCCUACCUCCAGGCCUGUGCCCCACUUGUUAGGCCUCAACGCCCCUCCCUCUAAGACCUCGCCAGUAACUAAUUCCCUCACUCCCAGCCUGAGCUUGGCUCCUCCUCCCAGGAAUGCAGGUGUCUACCGCUGGCAGGCCCUACUUGAGACAUUUUUAAAGACUUUUCCUGUUUCUUUCACCGAGUCUGUUUCUAGGGGAAUACUUAACCCUUCUCUGAGACCUGGGCCAGCUGGCAUCCCAAAAGCCCCUGCCUGUCGACCUCGACUCCCUCUCAGAACCCAGCACUUUCCUAGAAGCCUGUGCCAUCCAGGGCACCAGCAUGACCCACACCUUAGGCCUCAACCCCAACCCGAAGCUGUGAAGUCCAGGCUUCCACGCAGCCCUCCCAACCGCGACCCCAGCACUCCAGCCUCCCAAGACCCUGAAGCCCCUGGGGCCCUCGGCCCUCGGUUCCGCUCUCUGAACCCACGGUCGCCAGGGUCACAAGGCCUCUGCUGCCAUGUCUCCCGUGGGCUCCGGGAGCUGGCCUUCCCGCGCCCCCGCCCGCGCCCCGGCCCUCACCCACGCGGAAGCCGGGCCCGUGAGCGUGUCGGUGCUGUGGCCGUUCUCUCCGAUGAGCGUCAUGUUGGAGCCCUUCUGACAACUGUCCCGACACUGGCCCUUGAGACAGGUCCGCUUGCAGAUCACCGGCGCAAAGACCACCUUGAAGCGCUCGCGGGCCAGCGCCCGCCCCGCCAGCGCCCUCUCGCCCGCCGGCCCCCUCGGCCCCGCCGCCCGGGCCCAGCAGCAGCAGCAGCAGCAGCGCCAGCAGCCCCGCCGCCCCGCCCCGCGCAUCUCAGGGCCAGGCCGCCAGCAGCCCCACGGGGCCCGGGCAUCCAGGGCCGCAGGACCCGGGGGCGCGCCCGGGCGGGGCGAUGGUCCCGACGCCCGAGGGGAUAA
rnacentral:lncRNA from 1 species